CCCUUAGACGUUCUGGGCCGCACGCGCGCUACACUGACCAGUGCAACAAGCAUCCGUCCUUGGCCGACAGGCUCGGGCAAUCUUUGAACGCUAGUCGUGAUGGGGAUAGACUUUUGCAAUUUUUGGUCUUCAACGAGGAAUUCCUAGUAAACGCAAGUCAUCAACUUGCAUUGAUUACGUCCCUGCCCUUUGUACACACCGCCCGUCGCACCUACCGAUUGAAUGGUCCGGUGAAGCCUCCGGAUUGGCGCGCACCUCGGUGCCGCCGAGAAGUUGGCUAAACCUUACCAUUUAGAGGAAGGUGAAGUCGUAACA
rnacentral:rRNA from 1 species